rnacentral:ncRNA from 1 species
UGGUUGAUCCUGCCAGUAGUCAUAUGCUUGUCUCAAAGAUUAAGCCAUGCAAGUCUAAGUACGAGCUCUCGUACAGUGAAACUGCGAAUGGCUCAUUAAAUCAGUUAUGGUUCAUUUGAUCGUACAGUUUACUUGGAUAACUGUGGUAAUUCUAGAGCUAAUACAUGCGAGAAGCGCCGACCUCGCGGGAGGCGUGCAUUUAUCAGACCAAAUCACCGGCCGCGUCUUCGGGCGCGUUCGCCUUGGUGACUCUGGAUAACUUUGCGGAUCGCACGGUCUAGCACCGGCGACGGAUCAUUCAAGUGUCUGCCCUAUCAACUUUCGUCGGUACGGUAUUUGCCUACCGAGGUUCUUACGGGUGACGGGGAAUCAGGGUUCGAUUCCGGAGAGGGAGCCUGAGAAACGGCUACCACAUCCAAGGAAGGCAGCAGGCGCGCAAAUUACCCAUUCCCGACGCGGGGAGGUAGUGACGAAAAAUAACAAUGCAGGACUCGUUCGAGGCCCUGUAAUUGGAAUGAGUACACUUUAAAAGCUUUAACGAGUAUCCAUUGGAGGGCAAGUCUGGUGCCAGCAGCCGCGGUAAUUCCAGCUCCAAAAGUAUAUAUUUAAGUUGUUGCGGUUAAAAAGCUCGUAGUUGGAUUUUGGGCGCAGGCGGCCGGUCCGUCGCAAGGCGUGUACUGGACGUCCUGGCCUUCCCUCCGGUUCUCCGCCGGUGCUCUUGACUGAGUGUCGGCGGCGGCCGGAACGUUUACUUUGAAAAAAUUAGAGUGUUCAAAGCAGGCUCUCGAGCCUGGAUAAUGGUGCAUGGAAUAAUGGAAUAGGACCUCGGUUCUAUUUUGUUUGGUUUUCGGAGCGCGAGGUAAUGAUUAAGAGGGACAGACGGGGGGCAUUCGUACUGUGCCG